rnacentral:rRNA from 1 species
GACGAACGCUGGCGGCGUGCUUAACACAUGCAAGUCGAACGAAGUGGCGAACGGGUGAGUAACGCGUAAUCAACCUGCCCUUCAGAGGGGGACAACAGUUGGAAACGACAGCUAAUACCGCAUACGGAAGGAGGGGAUUGCGUUUGAUUAGCUAGUUGGGUGGGUAACGGCCCACCAAGGCGAUGAUCAGUAGCCGGUCUGAGAGGAUGAACGGCCACAAUGGGACUGAGACACGGCCCAGACUCCUACUGGAGGCAGCAGUGGGGAAUCUUCCGCAAUGGACGGAAGUCUGACGGAGCAACGCCGCGUGAGUGAUGACGGCCUUCGGGGUGUAAAGCUCUGUUAAUCGGGACGCGGUACCGGAAUAGAAAGCCACGGCUAACUACGUGCCAGCAGCCGCGGUAAUUC